UGAAAAGGUCUCAAAUAAUCGCUCAUUCACUUUUAGAGACCUGGAGUUGAAAGAUCAUUCAGUAACGGCUAAAGUCACAUCGAAGUUUACUUCCCCUAAUCACAAGAUGAAUUACAAAUUGAUCGUCAUUUUAAUCGUACUUGUCCUCGUGACCACACUUCAUGAAAGUCAUGCCUGGCGAAGAAGAAGAUCUGGACAGGGAAAAAUUCACCGAAAUGGACAUCCGCUUCCAGUGGUUGACGAAGACAACAAGGAACACCGCAGGGCAGUAUAUCAAGACGAGGAAUACAUGGAUAAGAUGAAGGAAAUGCAUGGGAUGGAGAACUGAGAAUAAAAUGAAUAGUGAUAUGCGCUGAUUGUAUUGGGAACGAUAUAAUAAAGAUGRCUUUCCKGRGGAAGCCCGAGUAAGCGAAAUAAUAAAAACUAGUCGUAAAAAAUAAAA